AAUUUUCUAGACUCAACUCGUGCCUGCUUCUCAUUUGAGAAACCUAUUUCCAACGGAACUCCCCGACAGCUCGUAGCUGUCUCUUCAUCAAAGCAGAAGUAAUUUUCUCACUUUAGCUAUUAGCUUCAGAUUUCAUAAUUGGCAAUUUCAUAGUCGUCAUCUUCAUAAAGAUCAGACAAAAAAAAAAUCUGCAUAAAGAUCAACCAUCACAAUAUUUUUUGAGCGGAGGAUGGAUGUUCACUUCAUUUCAUCAACACGGAUCCACACUUUCUUUAAAUCUCAUGCUUCACCAAUUCCAAUUCAUUCCAAGCAUCUCCCUUUUCACCAAAUCUACCUUAGGCCGGCGAGUUGGAGGAUCGAAUCUGGGGGAUUCUCCCUCACCCAUCAAGUGCUCGAUGAAAUACCUCUCUCCGAUACCUUUGCUUGGAACAAUCUUAUCCACUCCCAUUUGAUCAGUAGAGAUCCUAUCGGCGCACUUUCUAUUUAUCUUCACAUGCUUCUCCAAGGUGCUCGUCUUGACAAGCGCACUUUCCCUCGUGUUUUAACUGCUUCUCGCCUUUGCAGCAACCUUUGUCUUGGCAAACAAGUUCAUUGCCAGGCUCUCAAGCUUGGCUUCUCCUCCGAUCAAUAUGUCAUUACUUCUUUAAUUCAAAUGUAUGGGGAUCUUGAUAGCACUGACGCUGCAAAAUGGCUGUUUGAUAAAUCUCCUACCAAGAAUUCUGUUUCUUGGACCAUGUUAGCCAAGUUCUACUUAUCUCAAAAUAAGCCGGAUUUGGCUAUUGAUAUGUUUCAUCAAAUGAUGGACUCCAAUGCGUAUCAAGUUGAUCCAGUAGCGUUAGCAACAGUUGUUGGUGCCUGUGCUAAAUUGAAAUCUGUGCAACAAGGAAGAAAUGUUCAUGAGAUAGCAAGGAAAUGUGGACUGGAGUUUGAUAUUUUGGUGGCCAAUUCUCUUUUGAAAAUGUAUAUUGAUUGCGACAAUAUUGAGGACGCUCGGGCAACUUUUGAUGGAAUGCCAACCAAAGAUAUCAUUUCAUGGACGGAAAUUAUAAAUGGGUAUGUGAAGAAUGGAGGAUUUAAUGAAGCUCUCAAAUUGUUUAGGUGGAAGAAUGCAGUUGGAAUAAAACCGGAUUCCCUAUCUAUUUGUAGUGUUCUCCCUGCUUGUGCAAGACCGGCAGCUUAUAAGCAUGGGAAAGAGAUUCAUGCUUACUUGCUAAGAAACGGCAUUCAGCUUAAUCAUAAAGUCCAAAAUGCUCUUAUGGACAUGUAUAUUAAAUCAGGAUUCAUAGAGUGUGCUUCAAAUGUUUUUGCCCGGAUGAAGAAGAGGGAUGUUAUUUCAUGGACUGUGAUGAUACUAGGCUUUAGCUUACAUGGACAAGGUGAGGUUGGAGUAGAAUUGUUCCACAGGCUGGAAGACUCAUGCAUAGAGAUUGAUCAAUUUACACAUCAAGCUGUCCUGCGUUGUUGUACUACCGCAUGCAUGGUUGAGGAGGGAAAACUUUAUUUCAAUUGUAUUAAGGAUCCGAAUUCCACACACUAUGCCUUGAUGGUUGCUCUUUUAGCUCGUGCUGCGCUUUUUGAUGAGGCAAGAGCCUUUAUUGAAGAGCAUCGGAUUGGAGGGCAUGGAGAGGUACUAAGAGCAAUGCUAGAUGGGUGCCAGAUCCACCAGCAAGCAGAAAUAGGUAAGCAGAUCAUUGAGCAACUUUGUGAAUUGGAACCUCUUAAUGCAGAAAACUAUGUGUUACUGUCCAAUUGGUAUACUGCUAAUGCACAAUGGGAAAUGGUUAGUAAAUUAGAAGGAAGAAUUAAAGACACAGGUUUGAAGCCUAAGAAAGUUUAUAGCUGGAUAGAAUUCCACAAUAAAGUUCACACAUUUGGGACAGGAGACGUAUCCCACCCAAGAGCGGAGAGAAUAUACGAGGAGUUACAGCGUUUAAUGAAGAACAUUGAAGUUGAAACACAUGGACCUACUUUUUUAAGCCUCAAGGAUGCAGAAGAAGAGCGGGAGUGCAUUCAAAUUGGACAUAGUGAAAUGUUGGCACUUGGUUUUGGGCUUAUCAGUACACAGGCAGGGGCAACAGUUCGUGUUACCAAAAAUCAUCAUGUGUGUCGCCGCUGCCAUGAUUCUGCAAAGCUUAUUUCUAAGAUAGUAGAGCGAGAAAUCAUAAUAAAGGACUCAAAUUGCUUCCAUCAUUUUAAGGAUGGAACUUGUUCGUGUAAGGAUUAUUGGUGAUUGAAUUUUGAUAUCUUGAUUUGUCUUAUGGUAUAUUGCUGUGAUGAAUCAUUAUAUUUCACUAACAUUGGACGUUGAAGGCAAUGUAUGGAAAGAAACCUCCAGAAUUGUGGACAAGCCAAACUGAAAUGGAUCAGGAAUUCAGGAUUUUUGCAUGGAUUUCCAAGAUUAACGUUUAAU
rnacentral:misc_RNA from 1 species